GUGAAAUGCAUUUUACAAAUGCAUGGAUGUAGCUCGCUUAGGAGAGCGGAGGCUAUUUAGAAAAUGUGCUUGUAUUGAUAUGGACCUUGGGCUUAACUCAUACGGCAAAACAUACCCCUCAUAAGGAUAAAGACCAUAUAAGUAGAUCGAGCAAAACAGAUGGGUGACAACUUACAAGUUACACCUCUGCACAUCCUGACUAGUCAAUUGAAGCAUGAAUGACAAAUAUAAGGGCUCAACAUUGAAUAAACCAAGGAAAUGCGAUGGGCUUGAUUCUGAUACCAUCGAUCUGAUGCUUAAAUUGAGAUUGUCUACGGUAGUCUAAGCAUGCAUUUUGAGGGUAAUAUAGUACCAAAACAUAGCAUUGUGGAAACCAGAAUUUCCCAGCGUAUUUUGUUAAUCUAUAAUUAGAAGUGCCUUAACUUUAGGCUCCCUUGAUGGUCCAUACAUUCAGGUAGCAACGCAAUGCAAUGAAACCUUGCUGGUUUACGUGAAAGUUAAAAUGUUAAAGCGCGAGAGAAAUUACUAGUGCUGCUACUUUUUAUUUUCAAUAGAAUAAUAGAAAUGUGAAAUAUGGACCUUUUUUUUUAUGGUAAAAAUAUACAUUUUGGGCUAAACUUUUAACUCCUAAAGCUAGCUCAGGGGCUAAGGAUUGCUCGAAUUCAUAUUAAAAAGGACACCCAUCCUUUAAAAGGGUGGGACUCUUCACAGUUUUUCUUUGAUAAGAUUUGUCAAUCAUUAGUUAUUUAAUAUGGUAAAUUCCUCCAUAUGAAAAUAAUCCAAAUUCAGCAUAAACGUUUUGUAAGUGUUAUUGUACUAAGAAGAAACAUCCUUCUGGCAGUGUUACGUGUCAGGCUGAUGCCACAAUCUUAGCAGCCACCUUCUCCAGCAGUUUAUUUUUUGCUCAUGUUUUAAUUUAGUUAGGAGUCUUUCUUUUGGAAGUAGUUGUUGCUAUUUUUACGUUUGAGUAGUUGAGUUGCUACGCACGUUCUAGUUUAAUGUUGCAAGUGCUAUUAUAAGUCAAUGUUGCAUCAAUUAGAGGUCACUUUUUCUAUGCAAACAAUCCUUCAAGUUUUAUCUUGGCAGAGACUGAUCUCCUCCUACUUAGAUCAAUCAUCAAUCAUCUUUCCUUCUUUGUUCUUUGUUGCCAUCGUUAAUCAUAGCGCCAAAAACAAACCACGUUCCACAGUGGUAUCAGAGCUUGGCAGAAAUUAUGGAUCAACGCGUAGCAAGUUUAGAAGAUAACGUUCAGACCCUCCCCAACCAAGUUCAAUCUGUCACAGAGGGGUAACAGGCCCUUACCCAGAAGUUGAAUGACAUUCUUUCUCAGAUAGAGCUAUUAUUGUCUAAACCUCAAAAAGAAGGAGAAAAUUCUUCUGUAGGUAGUUUUCAUAGUCGUCAAACACCUACGACCAGCAAGGCUACGUCAGGUGGAAGUGUCAAACCCAUGAAGUUAGGCUUCCCUCAAUUCAAAAGGGAUGAAGAUUCUACGAGUUGGCUCUGCAGAGCAGAACAAUUCUUCCAAUUUCAUGAAAUACCUGAUGAGGAAAGAGUUUUUAUUGCCUCUUUUCAUUUAGAAGGGGAAGCACAUAUGUGGUUUCAACUGUUAAGGAAAGACAUACUCGAGGUCUCCUGGAAUGAAUUCAAAGAGGGACUUCAUGUGAGAUAUGGGCCAAACCAAUACACAGAUUUCUUUAGAGAAAUAACAAAACUGUAGCAGAAGGGAAACGUUCAAGAUUAUCAAGUGGAUUUUGAAAAACUUCUUUCAAAAGUGGGACGCUUAACACCGAAGCGAAAGGACAGUUGUUUUGUGAGUGGCCUUCAGGACUCGAUUCGUACAGAAGUUCAGGCAGUGCAUUCGAAAGCUCUCUCGGAAGCAAUAGGCCUUGCCCGUCUAUAUGAAGCAAAGUUACUCACACAACAGAAAACGCCAAUGAUGUCAAAGCAGUAGGGACCAUCUCCACGACCAGCAAAUACAUCCCUAAUGCCUAUAGUUAAAAGAUUAAGUGUUGAGAAACUGAAUGAGAGAAGGAGGCUGGGAUUGCGUUUCCGAUGUAAUGAAAAAUUUGGUCCGUGACACAGAUGUAAAAACUUUUCUCUAUUCAAGCAGUGCUUGAUGAUGGCGAUGAAGAUGUGGAGAUGGAGGUAGAAGACCAAGACUCUCAUCAUACCCCCGCUAUUUCAAUUCACGCACUAGCAGGCUAUUAUCAAGUUCGAAUCCAUCCAGCAGAUGUGGAGAAGACUGCAUUUCGUACCCAUGAAGAUAACUAUGAAUUCUUUGUAAUGCCGUUUGGUUUGACCAAUACACCAUCUACAUUUCAGUCCCUUAUGAAUGAGGUAUUUAAGCUCUAUCUUCGAAAAUUUAUUUUGAUUUUCUUUGAUGAUAUUGUGGUCUAUAGCAAGAAUUGGGAUGAUCAUUUAGAGCAUUUGGAGAUAACUUUUUCUAUUUUACAAUCUCAUAAACUAUUUGUUAAAAUGGAAAAAUGUCUCUUUGGGAAACGAAAGAUUAAAUAUUUGUGUCAUCUUAUUUCUAACCAUGGAGUUGUAGUGGAUCCUGGAAAAAUUGUAGCUAUCUCGAGUUGGCCAAAAUCGAUCACGACUAAAGCUAUGAGAGGAUUUUUGGGACUUUGUUGAUACUAUCGUAAGUUCAUCCUGAAUUUUGGCAAGAUAGCUGGUCCUCUCAUGAAGAUGCUUAAGAAAGAUGGGUUUGCGUGGUUUUCGAAUGCAGAAGAAGCCUUUGGUCAGUUGAAGGAAGUGAUGACUCAAGCUCCAGUUUUGGCCUUACCAAAUUUUUCAAAAUAAUUUGUGGUAGAAUGUAAUGCCUUUGGGUCUGGUAUCGGCGCUAUACUACGACAAGAGAGACCCAUCGCAUAUUUUAGCCAAGCUUUACAUAGAAGUAACCUAUUUCUGUCUAUUUAUGAAAAGGAAAUUUUGGCUUUGGUUCUCGCCGUGCAGAAGUGGAGGCCUUAUCUCUUAGGCAGACAAUUUGUGGUAUUGACUGAUCAUCAAAGUUUGAAGCACUUGUAGACACAAAAGAUCACUACGACGGCUCAACAAAGGUGGUUAUUUAAGCUGAUGGGUUUUGAUUUUGUUGUAGACUACAAAAAAGGAAAAGAGAAUAUUGUGGCAGAUGCUCUAUCCCGGAGAUAUGAAGAUGAUUGUAAUGGAAGCUUGUUGACAAUUUCUCAACCAAUUCCAGUAUGGUUAGAGACAAUUAAAGAGGAACAUUCUUCCAGUCCCAAGAUUCAAGAAAUCAUUCAUCUGGUGCAAAUUGAAGAGGCAGUCGGUCCUUGGGAGUUUCAAGAUGGGGUGCUUUAUUUCAAAAAAGAAUUUACUUGGAUGAGAAUUCUCCUUCAUUACAGGUAAUUAUUGAUCAAUUCCACAAUAGUAUGCAUAAGGGGUUCCACAAAACUCUCCACUGAAUUAGAGCUAAUUUUUAUUCAAAGAAGUUGAGGAAGAAGAUUCUGAAAUUUAUUCAAGAAAGUGAUGUUUGCCAAAGACACAAAAUUGAGAAUCUCACUCCUGCUGGACUAUUGCAACUUUUACCCCUCCCACAACAAAUUUGGGAAGACAUAUCUAUGGAUUUUAUAGAUGGUUUGCCCACCUCGAGAUUAAUUGCAGUAUAUAUGUCGUGGUGGAUAGGUUGUCCAAAUAUGCACAUUUUAUUUCCCUCUCACACCCAUACAAUUUUGUGAGCAUAGCUCAAAUUUUCUUUGAUCAAUUUUUCGAUUACACGAAAUGCCAAGAUCUAUUGUUUGUGAUUGAAUCGAGUUUUCACAAGUUCCUUUUGGAAGGAAUUGUUCAAAUUGAAUGGGACUGCAUUCAAUUUCAGUUUUGCUUAUCAUCCUCGGACUGACGGAAUGACGGAGGUUAUAAAUAAAAGUCUAGAGAUGUAUUUAAGGUGUUUCUCCAACUCUCACCCAAAGACAUGAAAAAGAUGGUUAUCAUGGGCUAAAUAUUACUAAAACACAAAUGUCCAUUCUUCAACUGGAAAAACACCUUUUGAGGUAGUAUAUGGAAGGGAACCACUCACUCUGCUUACAUAUGUUCCAGUUACAGCUAAGCUUCAAUCUGUGGAGCAAGAGUUAAUUGAUCGAGAUUCCAUAAUCAGAGAAGCUCGUGAGAAGAUAGUCAAUGCUCAAAAUCGAAUGAAGAAGAUAUUUGAUUCCAAGCAUAGGGAGAGAGAAUUUUCAAUUGGCGAUAUGGUGUAUCUUAAGCUACAGGCAUACAGACAACUUUCGGUCUCUAAAAAAGGGAUGCACAAACUAUCUGCCAGAUUUUAUGGCCCAUUCAAGAUUGUUCAAAAAAUUGGUUCGGUUGCCUAGCGACUCGAAUUGCCUUCUAGGAGCAAAAUUCACCCAGUCUUUCAUGCGUUUCUCCUUAAACCCUGCAUUGGUAAUCACUGCUUAGCUGAUCAGACCCAUUUUCCAGAUUAUCUCGACGCACUCGUAAGGGCAGGCAAGAGCUCCUAGUUCAAUGGAAAGGGUUGGAUCCUUCAGAGGCUACGUGGGAAGAGUUGAAGUUUCUCCAACAAUAAUUUCCCACUUUUACGCUUGAGGACAAGCUUAAUUCUUAAGGGAAGGGGAGUUGUUACGUGUCAGGCUGAUGCCAUAGUUUUAGCAGCCACCUUCUCCGUCCAUUUAUUUUUUGCACAUGUUUUAAUUUAGUUAGGAGUCUAUUUCUUUUGAAAGUAGUUAUUGCUAUUUUUACGUUUGAGUAGUUGAGUUGUUACGCACGUUCUAAUUUAACGUUGCAAGUGUUAUUAUAAGUCAAUGUUGCAUCAAUAAGAGGACAUCACUUUUUCUAUGCAAACAAUCCUUCAAGUUUUAUCUUGGCAGAGGCUGAUCUCCUCCUACUUAGAUCAAUCAUCAAUCAUCUUUUCUUCUUUGUUCUUUGUUGCUAUCGUUAAUUAUAGGGCCAAAAGAAAUCAUGUUCCACUGUGGCUUUAACAAGCUGUAUAUUCAUCUAAUGCGUAGGAGCAAGCAGUGAAGAAUUUAUUGUUUAGUGUUCUCCAAUAUAGAAUUCUAUAGGUGAUUGUUUGUCUGUACGAUUCAGGAAUCAGACUUAAGUUCAACAUUGUACAACAAGAUAAAUUUUUCAAAAA